rnacentral:rRNA from 1 species
GACGUAGGGUGCAAGCGUUGUCCGGAAUUAUUGGGCGUAAAGAGCUCGUAGGCGGUUUGUCGCGUCGGCUGUGAAAACUUGGGGCUCAACCCCAAGCCUGCAGUCGAUACGGGCAGACUAGAGUGUGGUAGGGGAGACUGGAAUUCCUGGUGUAGCGGUGAAAUGCGCAGAUAUCAGGAGGAACACCGGUGGCGAAGGCGGGUCUCUGGGCCAUAACUGACGCUGAGGAGCGAAAGCGUGGGGAGCAAACAGG